GGCCGAUUGGGAGCUCUGUGCUUUCAAACCGUCUUCGGACAAUUUCUGACAACUUGACCUCAAAUCGAGUAGGACUACCCGCUGAACUUAAGCAUAUCAAUAAGCGGAGGAAAAGAAACUAACAAGGAUUCCCCUAGUAACGGCGAGUGAAGAGGGAAGAGCUCAAAUUUUAAAUCUGGCGUCUUUGGCGUCCGAAUUGUAAUCUAGAGAAGUGUUUUCCGUGACGGACCGUGCACAAGUCUCCUGGAAUGGAGCGUCAUAGAGGGUGAGAAUCCCGUAUAUGGCAUGGACUGCCGUUGCUCUGUGAUACACUCUCGACGAGUCGAGUUGUUUGGGAAUGCAGCUCUAAAUGGGUGGUAAAUGCCAUCUAAAGCUAAAUAUUGGCGAGAGACCGAUAGCGAACAAGUACCGUGAGGGAAAGAUGAAAAGCACUUUGGAAAGAGAGUGAAACAGUACGUGAAAUUGUUGAAAGGGAAACGCUUGAAGUCAGUCGCGCCGUUCAGGAUUCAGCCUUGCUUUUGCUCGGUCUACUUCCUGUUGGGUGGGUCAACAUCAGUUUUGGUCGGAGGAGAAAGGCUUGGGGAAUGUGGCAGCAUUCGUGCUGUGUUAUAGCCCCUUGUUGUAUACUUCGGCUGGGACUGAGGACCGCAGCACGCCUUUGGCCGGGGUUCGCCCACGUACGUGCUUAGGAUGUUGGCAUAAUGGCUUUAAGCGACCCGUCUUGAAACAYGGACCAAGGAGUCUAACAUGUGCGCGAGUGUUUGGGUGUUAAACUCGGACGCGAAAUGAAAGUGAAAAGUUGGGAACACUUAUGUGUGCACCGACGCCCGGAGCUGACCUUUUGUGACGCAUCUGCGGUGGAGCGUAUAUGUUGGGACCCGAAAGAUGGUGAACUAUGCCUGAAUAGGGUGAAGCCAGAGGAAACUCUGGUGGAGGCUCGUAGCGAUUCUGACGUGCAAAUCGAUCGUCAAAU
rnacentral:rRNA from 1 species